rnacentral:rRNA from 1 species
GAUGAACGCUGGCGGCGUGCCUAAUACAUGCAAGUCGAGCGAACAGACGAGGAGCUUGCUCCUCUGACGUUAGCGGCGGACGGGUGAGUAACACGUGGAUAACCUACCUAUAAGACUGGGAUAACUUCGGGAAACCGGAGCUAAUACCGGAUAACAUGUUGAACCGCAUGGUUCAACAGUGAAAGACGGUCUUGCUGUCACUUAUAGAUGGAUCCGCGCCGCAUUAGCUAGUUGGUAAGGUAACGGCUUACCAAGGCAACGAUGCGUAGCCGACCUGAGAGGGUGAUCGGCCACACUGGAACUGAGACACGGUCCAGACUCCUACGGGAGGCAGCAGUAGGGAAUCUUCCGCAAAGGGCGAAAUCCUGACGGAGCAACGCCGCGUGAGUGAAGAAGGUCUUCGGAUCGUAAAACUCUGUUAUUAGGGAAGAACAAAUGUGUAAGUAACUAUGCACGUCUUGACGAUACCUAAUCUGAAAGCCACGGCUAACUACGUG